UGGGGAAUUUUGGACAAUGGGCGAAAGCCUGAUCCAGCAAUGCCGCGUGUGUGAAGAAGGCCUUCGGGUUGUAAAGCACUUUUGUCCGGAAAGAAAUCCUUGGCUCUAAUACAGUCGGGGGAUGACGGUACCGGAAGAAUAAGCACCGGCUAACUACGUGCCAGCAGCCGCGGUAAUACGUAGGGGUGCAAGCGUUAAUCGGAAUUACUGGGCGUAAAGCGUGCGCAGGCGGUUUGCUAAGACCGAUGUGAAAUCCCCGGGCUCAACCUGGGAACUGCUUGGUGACUGGCAGGCUAGAGUAUGGCAGAGGGGGGUAGAAUUCCACGUNUAGCAGUGGAAAUGCGUAGAGAUGUGGAGGAAUACCGAUGGCGAAGGCAGCCCCCUGGGCCAAUACU
rnacentral:rRNA from 1 species